rnacentral:lncRNA from 1 species
GGGAAACCCAGCUGGAAACUCCAUUUCCCAGCUGCUCUUGUAGCCAGGUGUAGACACAGGGGAAUGUGAGGUGAGCAUGUCCUCAAAGCCUGACGGCAUUGAGUAAAUUCUCCUUUGUGUUCUCUCUUUCAUGAGCUGGGCAUAUGAGCCUGAGACAGGUUUGACAAGGCAACUGAAAAGAUAUCCCUAAGAGAAGAGAAAGCAAAGGUAUGAAAGGAACACACAUCCCUGACUGACUAGGAGGAACAGAGCUGCCUGCUGUCUGGAACCGCUUCCUCCCAGACUAGUGAGGCCCGGAGAGAAGAGAUGACUUGCUUAAGGUCAGAUACUUACUUUCUCUAUCAAUCUUUGUAAAUCUAGGACGAGUUCUCAUCCCACUGUAUCAGGCUGCCUCAACAAACAGGGAAGUACAAAAAUAGCCAAAUCCAGGAAGGAGGGCAGU